UACGAAGGGGGCUAGCGUUGCUCGGAAUCACUGGGCGUAAAGCGCACGUAGGCGGAUUGCUAAGUCAGGGGUGAAAUCCUGGAGCUCAACUCCAGAACUGCCUUCGAUACUGGCGACCUUGAGUCCGGGAGAGGUGAGUGGAACUCCGAGUGUAGAGGUGAAAUUCGUAGAUAUUCGGAAGAACACCAGUGGCGAAGGCGGCUCACUGGCCCGGUACUGACGCUGAGGUGCGAAAGCGUGGGGAGCAAACAGG
rnacentral:rRNA from 1 species